AGUGAACGCUGGCGGUAGGCCUAACACAUGCAAGUCGAACGGCAGCACAGUAAGAGCUUGCUCUUACGGGUGGCGAGUGGCGGACGGGUGAGGAAUACAUCGGAAUCUACUUUUUCGUGGGGGAUAACGUAGGGAAACUUACGCUAAUACCGCAUACGACCUACGGGUGAAAGCAGGGGAUCUUCGGACCUUGCGCGAUUGAAUGAGCCGAUGUCGGAUUAGCUAGUUGGCGGGGUAAAGGCCCACCAAGGCUGCGAUCCGUAGCUGGUCUGAGAGGAUGAUCAGCCACACUGGAACUGAGACACGGUCCAGACUCCUACGGGAGGCAGCAGUGGGGAAUAUUGGACAAUGGGCGCAAGCCUGAUCCAGCCAUACCGCGUGGGUGAAGAAGGCCUUCGGGUUGUAAAGCCCUUUUGUUGGGAAAGAAAAGCAGCAGGUUAAUACCCCGCUGUUCUGACGGUACCCAAAGAAUAAGCACCGGCUAACUUCGUG
rnacentral:rRNA from 1 species